CGAGACAUUGGGCGAUAUCGAAAGAGGAACUAUAAGCUUACGAAGCUUCAGAGAACGACGCUCGCAAGGCACAUCAGUUAGGCCAUGGAAUUCCUCCAGUCCAAUAAAGACAAACUAUGCACGCUGUUAGCCAGUCACCUUGAUAAGGUGUUGGAUCAGGUUGGGGAGGAUAUAUCAUAUAAGGAGUCGAAGAGCUGCAUCAAGCAAGGUGGAAAGGAGGGGAUGAAGAUACUACUGGAGGUCAUGCUAGGGAAAGAACAAGGGAAAUGUCAACAGCUGGUGAAGUUCCUGGGUGAUACUUUUCCAGAAAUAAAGGACUUAAUCAACAGUCAAGGAGCUUCAGGAGCAGGAAGUGUUCCGAUGUAUGCAGACCAAAACAGUACCAUUGUGGCAGCUGAGACCGCCAACACCAACUUGAAGUCUUACAAAAUGAAAGCUGAUAUACAUGGGCAAGACGGAUGCAGUGCUACUUCUUCCCAAGUGUGCCCACCAGCAAACUUUCCCAGCAGUGGCUCUCGUUUGGUGGCAACAAAUAAUAGCCACAUAUUUGCCCCAAAGUUAACAGGCUCGACUGUGGAUGGGGAUGUGGACUUUUCUUUUACUUACAGCUCUAAAUCCAAGUCCUCUCAAAGUGCAGGUAAGGUAUAAGGUGGAAAUGCAGGAAAUAGUACAUCUUGCACCACAGUCCCAGAUAAGCUUCUCUUCUUCAAAACCAACAAUGUGAAUUUGAUACAAAGGAUAAAAAACGUGGGGUCUAUUCUGGAUUAUCUUUUCCAAGAGGGUUUCCAUCCGGAGAUGGUAGCCAAAGCACGCGCUGAAAAAGUACCUCAGGAACAGAUGAGGGUGAUACUGGUAGCCACCACCACCAAGGCAGCGGCAAAAAUCUUAUUUCAAGCCCUACAGACUAACGAGAAAGACCUUAUGGAUGAACUGAUCAAUUAACAUGUGUGGAAAAAAGAUAGAAGGGCUGACUAUAGAGAUGAAGGGUUGCGUUGCAAAGCCGUGUACUUUGUAGAAUGUUGGGAAACUGACAUUUUUGCAUUGGGCAUUCUAUUGCAUUGCAUUGGAAAAUGCAUUUAUAUACAGUAGGUUUAAAAAGUAUGUUCCCAAAAUAUUUCAAUGGCAAGAAUUGACACGUAGGUGAUAGGACCUCUGAGCAGUCAUUUCAAAUAAUGAAAUGCAAAAGUCAAAAAUGGUGGAUACACCGUUUUGCAACAAAACCCUUCAUAUUUUACACAGCUACAAACAUGCACACACGCGCACGCUCACACACACACAGCCCGCAUGUAAUAAUGGUCUAGCCAGGCUGCGCCCUCCUAGUGACGCAACACCUUCGGUGGCAUUGCCUCUAAAAUCGAAUCGAGAUUUGAAAGUCUAUGAUAAUCAGGCUAAUAAUGGGCAUGAAUGAUCCAAAAAAUAGGCUGCCUCUAUAGGACAAUUCCAUAUCAACUCGAAAGGGCAUUUUUACUGUGGAAGUUUCUCUACCUGUGUAUUUUAUAGUUUUUAUAGUUUUUACAACUCGUCAUAGUGCACAUGCGCUAAAGCUUUAACUCAUACUACAGCCAUAGUGAAACUCGUAAGAGCACCUAAGUGCCUUUACUUUUUAACUUUUAUACUUUUUUUAUGACAAACUUUACAGUAUCUUGUAUUUUCCACUUGAAGUGAUUAUAAGGGUAUAUCUCAGGCUAUAUUUGUUUAGUGUUUUUUUUCUUUUAAAUCAUGAAUUGAAAAUGCAGGGAAACUGGAUGUAUGCAGAAAUAUUUUGUAACGUAUGACUUUUUAUUGAAAUCUUUUAAAUGUAUUUUUUUUUACGAGGGAAAAUUAGGUUACUAGAUUACUAUCAAUAAGGGAAUCUUUAUACAUGGGACUCAGUGUAAAGGGAAAUAAGCACUUAAUGUCCUUUUUUAUCUUCAUCUAUGCACUUUGCAGUGUCACAUUCCAGCAAGCCAAAAACAAUUAGGGGAAAUGAUUUGAUGUAAGCUUACCUGUAAAUCAUGUAACUAGGCCUUCUUGUGUAUGUAAUUCAAGUAUCUUGCAUGUUAAAGGGGGACCAAAACACUUACAAGGCCUUUCUA